GUCAGCAGCCAUAUCAUCCUGCAGCCCAAGACUGGUUGCCCACUGAAGCUAAGCAGGGUUGAGCCUGGUCAGUACCUGGAUGGGAGACCUCCUGGGAAAACUAGGUUGCUGCUGGAA
rnacentral:rRNA from 1 species